GAGAAGCGCACACACACUGGCACAGUUUGUAGAAUUGUCAAAUGUACCGAAAAUAUAUCCAUUUCUCUCCGAUAUGGACGAAGCAACUUUAAUCAGUUAUUUUAUUGAUUUGGUGGCAGUUUAGUGAUUGUUUUUGCAAUGGGAUUGUGCAACCCACCAAUAAAAACACAUUGCCGGUGGUUGGAGAUUCGGGGGACGGCUCUCAUUCAUGUGCUGAGCGAUGAAAACCGUGACGCUGAGUGUCAACAAGCGGAGGAAAAAGUGAAUGAUCCUUGCCCACCAAAAUGAAGAUAAUGACUGCAUGUAUCAUUCUCAAGUGGCAGAUCCCUGCCAGAUUUGGUGAAAAGCUCAAUUUCGUUGAAUUAAGUUUGGUAGACCCAAAAUACGUACUAGGCCCAAAAUAGGGACAAAUACCCUAU